AUACGGAGGGGGCUAGCGUUGUUCGGAAUUACUGGGCGUAAAGCGCACGUAGGCGGAUUAAAAAGUUAGAGGUGAAAUCCCAGGGCUUAACCCUGGAACUGCCUUUAAAACUAGUAGUCUAGAGUUCGAGAGAGGUGAGUGGAAUUCCAAGUGUAGAGGUGAAAUUCAUAGAUAUUUGGAGGAACACCAGUGGCGAAGGCGGCUCACUGGCUCGAUACUGACGCUGAGGUGCGAAAGCGUGGGGAGCAAACAGGAUUAGAUACCCUAGUAGUCC
rnacentral:rRNA from 1 species